rnacentral:rRNA from 1 species
GCACAAGCGGCGGAGCAUGCGGAUUAAUUCGAUGCAACGCGAAGAACCUUACCAAGGCUUGACAUACACCGGUAACGCCCAGAGAUGGGUGCCCCUUUGUGGUCGGUGGACAGGUGGUGCAUGGUUGUCGUCAGCUCGUGUCGUGAGAUGUUGGGUUAAGUCCCGCAACGAGCGCAACCCUCGUCCUAUGUUGCCAGCGGGUCAUGCCGGGGACUCAUGGGAGACUGCCGGGGUCAACUCGGAGGAAGGUGGGGAUGACGUCAAAUCAUCAUGCCCCUUAUGUCUUGGGCUUCACGCAUGCCACAAUGGCCGGUACAAAGGGCUGCGAUACCGCGAGGUGGAGCGAAUCCCAGAAAGUCGGUCUCAGUUCGGAUUGGGGUCUGCAACUCGACCCCAUGAAGUCGGAGUCGCUAGUAAUCGUGGAUCAGCAUGUCACGGUGAAUACGUUCCCGGGUCUU